rnacentral:rRNA from 1 species
AUUGAACGCUGGCGGCAGGCUUAACACAUGCAAGUCGAGCGGAGAUGAGGUGCUUGCACCUUAUCUUAGCGGCGGACGGGUGAGUAAUGCUUAGGAAUCUGCCUAUUAGUGGGGGACAACAUUCCGAAAGGAAUGCUAAUACCGCAUACGUCCUACGGGAGAAAGCAGGGGAUCUUCGGACCUUGCGCUAAUAGAUGAGCCUAAGUCGGAUUAGCUAGUUGGUGGGGUAAAGGCCUACCAAGGCGACGAUCUGUAGCGGGUCUGAGAGGAUGAUCCGCCACACUGGGACUGAGACACGGCCCAGACUCCUACGGGAGGCAGCAGUGGGGAAUAUUGGACAAUGGGGGGAACCCUGAUCCAGCCAUGCCGCGUGUGUGAAGAAGGCCUUAUGGUUGUAAAGCACUUUAAGCGAGGAGGAGGCUACAGAGACUAAUACUCUUGGAUAGUGGACGUUACUCGCAGAAUAAGCACCGGCUAACUCUGUGCCAGCCGCCGCUGUAAGAC